rnacentral:lncRNA from 1 species
GGGAACCAUGAGGCCUGAGCCCCGGGGGAGUGGUCACCAGGCAAAGGACCGACAGGCCCUGGAAAGAGGCGAGGACAGGAGCAGGACGGCCACCGGCCAAGUGGGGCGAGGCACAACAGGCCGUCCUUCCUCCUCUGAGCUCCGGCUUCCCACACUGUGAGAGGCCCAAGGCCCCUCGUGGAGCAAAGCUAUGGGGGGUGAAGGUGGGAGCUGCCGUGAUGGUCCUUGUGCGGCAGGGAAGUUGACUGGGGGGGUGGGAACCCCCGAAGGCAAUGGGCCCUGCCUAGAGUCCUGAGAUGUGAGCGUCCCCAGGCCUGCAGACCAGGUUCUGGGACCUCCGCAGACGGCACAGAGGCUGGGACCUGACCUUGGCCUCUAUGGAGGGGGUCCCGGGGGUCGUGGGUGGAAUCAGAGUGUGUGGGAAGGAAGGUGACUGCGCUGUCCCCCCAACCGCCCUGCAGGGGUGAGCUCUGAGACCUUCCUUGAGAAGAUGGUGGCAGGAGAGGUGCCCUCAAUUGCCAUCAGCCUGAAGGUGGCUUAUCCAUGUCUAAAAAUAGUGGCUACGGGCUCUGCAGUGUGGCCUGCUGCGAUAAUAGCAGUUGUCGGGAUCGCUGGGGUCGCCGGGGUCAUCUUAUAUCAAAAAAAGAUGAAAACGCACAAUAAAAUGGAAUAGAAAAUCCAUUGACAAGAAUCAUCUCCAAGCCCUGGACAGACAGGAGAGCCAGAUGUGGGGACAGAUGUGCUGUGAGGACAUGUGUGACAAUUUGGGUAUGACCAAAGUAAAAAAAGUCCUGGAAUACACAUGUAUCGAGUGCUUAUUCUGAGCCUGAGUCUUUUCCAGAACUGGGCUCUGAGUCUCGGGUUUCCAGAUCCUUCGAGGCCCAGCUGCGACCCUACCAGCCCCCACCUGGCCCGUCCGUGAGACUUGGACCAGCACCUGCGGGAGUCCAGGGGUACUUGCGGCAGCAGCUUUAGAGCAAGAGGAGGGAGGCCAAGGAGAGGGCUGUCAGGGGAGUGGCCAUCACGAGAGGACGUUGUCUGCAAACAGGCGGACGAGCAGCCAGAAAAUAGGGGCGGCCGGAGGGAGGGGUCCGCGCG